GUUUGUUUACGUUGUCUGUUAGUGUGGUUUUGAAGUUUAGUGGUUAUAAAGUUUAGUAAUUUUUAUUAGUGUGACUUAAAUUGUGUUGGUGUUAGAUCGUUUAUAAAUUAAACAAAAUGUCGCUUAAAAAACCAAAGUGUUUAACCCUCUAUGAAAAAUCUUUGUAAUUCAAGAUUUAAAUAAUGGACAAGGUGUUGCAUAUUUAGCGAAAAAGUAUGGUGUGGCAAAAUCUACAAUUUGCAAAAUAAAAAAGAAAAAGGAACUGAUUUCUAGUGCUGUUAGAAACACGUAUGUUGGAAGAAUGGCAAAAAGACUGUACAAGUGGUUUCUUGACCAACGGAAUAAACAUUUAAUGGCAAGUGGCGACAUGAUUAAAGAAAAAGCAAAAUCCAUUUAUUCACAGCUCAAUGAAAGGGAUAAAUCGCGGAUGGUUACAAAGAUUCAAAAAAAAAAUUUGGAAUUCGUUUUUUAAAAAUUUCUGGGGAAAAACUGUCAUCUCAACCAGAGCUUGUAGACCCAUUUAAAAUUGCUCUAAAAAAUAAAAUAGCAGAGCUUGGAAUCUCAUUGGAUCAAGUUUACAAUGCUGAUGAGACAGGACUUUACUGGAAAUUAUUACCAGGAAAAACAUUUGUCUUGUCAACAGAAAAAACAGCUCCUGGUAGAAAAUUGGAGAAACAUACAAGAAUAACACUUUUGGCUUGCACUAAUGCUACUGGGCUCCAUAAAAUUAAACCAUUGGUGAUCGUUUAAAAAUUUCGAGUGUCCUGUUGACUAUGAACAUUCUAAAUCAGCUUGGAUGACUGCCGCAAUUUUUAAAAAAUGGUUUCAUUAUUCGUUAAGUUUUCCUUAUCUAUAGUUUUGUUUUAUGAUUAGUACAACCAUAUUAAUUUUUUUGAAGGUUAAGAGGUUCUUAAAAAAUAAAGGUCUGCCAUUGAAAGCUCUACUUCUUCUGGAUAAUGCACCAUCGCAUCCAACCGAAGAAAAAUUAAAAAGUGAAGAUGGACAAAUUAUAAGCAUGUACCUGCCACCUAAUGUCACCCCACUCAUACAGCCUACGGAUCAAAAUGUUAUUAGGCUAACAAAAUUGUACUACAGAAAAGGUCUUCUAUCAUCCAUAGUGGCUAACAAUACGUAUGUCAUUGAUGCCCUAAAAAACCUGACAAUAAAAGAUGUAGUAAUCAAUUUAAUGUCUGCUUGGAAUCAUCUUGAUUCUCAAGUUAUCAAAAAAUGUUGGAAAAACAUUUUAAAUGUGGUGCCCUCUACACAUAACAUAACACAUAACACUAAAACACCAGUGGGACAGCACUGCUCAGAAACCCAUAUCUGAAUCUCUUGGUCUUUUACAUACAUUGACACCUCAGGGAACUUUUGAAGAUUCUGACAUUGUAGAGUGGAAUCAGUGUGACAAUAAUUUUGCAGAAGACGACAUUGAAGAAUGUCAAUCGGAUGAAGCAGAAGUAUUAAAUGAGGUUGAGCAGGAACCCUCAAAUAAAAUUUCAUUAGAUAGGGCAAUUAAUGCCUUUAAUAUAGCGAUUCUGUGGGCAGCAGAGGAAAAUGAUAUUGACAUAAAUGACCUUGUAGUCUUAAAAAAAUUAAGAGAGAAAGCUGCGAUGUUAAAAGUAAAACAAACAAAAAUUUCAGACUUCUUUAAGAAAAACUAAUUUCUUAAAGUUUGAAAUUUGUUGUAUCUUUUUUUCUUUACAGUAAAUAAUAUUUUUAAGUAAGAAUAUGAACUUUAUGUUAUGUUAAUUACGUUUUGUUUCUGUUACUUUUGGUAAUUAUAACUGUUUAGUACACAUAAAGUGUAACCUUCAUUAACGUGAAUAAAUCGAUAAUGUGAA